GAUGAAGAACGCAGCGAAAUGCGAUAAGUAAUGUGAAUUGCAGAAUUCAGUGAAUCAUCGAAUCUUUGAACGCACAUUGCGCCCCUUGGUAUUCCGAGGGGCAUGCCUGUUCGAGCGUCAUUACACCACUCAAGCUAUGCUUGGUAUUGGGCGUCGUCCUUAGUUGGGCGCACCUUAAAGACCUCGGCGAGGCCACUCCGGCUUUAGGCGUAGUAGAAUUUAUUCGAACGUCUGUCAAAGGAGAGGAACUCUGCCGACUGAAACCUUUAUUUUUCUAGGUUGACCUCGGAUCAGGUAGGGAUACCCGCUGAACUUAAGCAUAUCAAUAAGCGGAGGA
rnacentral:misc_RNA from 1 species